AAGUAAGAAGCAAUAAUUUGCAUCUAGUUUCGACCUAGAAGAAUGAUUGAAUAAUCCUUACUUA
rnacentral:tRNA from 1 species